UUAGGAAUCUUCCGCAAUGGGCGAAAGCCUGACGGAGCGACACCGCGUGCAGGAUGAAGGCCUUCGGGUUGUAAACUGCUGUCACGCUAUAGGAACCGCUUGGUGUUAACAGCGCCAAGCCUGACUAAAGCGAGAGGAAGCACCGGCUAACUCCGUGCCAGCAGCCGCGGUAAGACGGAGGGUGCAAACGUUGUUCGGAAUCACUGGGCAUAAAGCGCACGUAGGCGGUCCGCUAAGUCAGUUGUGAAAUCCCUCGGCUCAACCGAGGAGCUGCACCUGAUACUGGCGGGCUCGAGAACGGUAGGGGUGAGUGGAACUCCAGGUGGAGCGGUGAAAUGCGUAGAUAUCUGGAGGAACACCGGUGGCGAAGGCGGCUCACUGGACCGUAUCUGACGCUGAGGUGCGAAAGCUAGGGUAGCAAA
rnacentral:rRNA from 1 species